UUUCAUACACAUAUAUACAUCUGAAACUCAGAAAAUUCAUUAGGUAGGAACUCUUUGGAUGCAUCUCCUUUUUUAACCUCAUUGGGAUGAUUUUUCGUUGCACCAUCAUUUUAUAGAGCUUCCUAGCACUGCUGAGCAUGCAGAAUUUUUGCAAAUGCAAUCCAGAGAAACAGACUUGCUAUAUACUAGCUAUUUGAACUUGUCUGAGCUUAUGUGGCAUGGUCUAAAGAAUACUGAAAUAUUUCUGGCAUACCUCUUAAUUGCAGUCACUUUCUCCAGGUUGCUUUAUGGAUUAAAUGAGAUAACCUACUAAAGGACUCCAGUAAAAAGCUAAAAAGGUAGCUAGCUUUUGAGGUGUUGUGGCAGACUGGCAUCUAGUGGCCAGCGAUAAAGGUGCAGACUAGUGUCCACACCUAAGUGGGGACAGUGCAGGCUGUAAUGUCCAUACCUAGUGGGGACAUCAAUGGGGUAUUUGUCAGAGAAGCUCCAUGGCAUAGUUUGGACAUUGUUUCUGGCUGUGCAGGUUCAAACCCAGAGUCUGGCUCUCCCAAAGAUUAUCUGAGUUAUUCUAUUAUUUUACAAAGUUUGAAAUAGCCAUUAGAUACCCUUACAAACUUAUCAUUUUUGUGAUUGAUUUUAAGUCUACUGAAAAUGUCAAAAGAAAUCCAAAACUGAUUGCUAGUAACUAGGCCAGGUGUGGUGGCUCACACCUGUAAUCCCAGCACUUUGGGGCCGGGGCAGGCAGAUUGCUUGAGCUCAGGAGUUCGAGACCAGCCUGGGCAACAUGGCAAAACUCCAUAUUUACAAAAAAUACAAAAAAUUAGCCGGACAUGAUGGUGUGUGCCUGUUGUCCCCGCUACUAGAAGGCUCAGAAAGAAGGAUCACUUGAGCCUGGGAGGCGGAGGUUGCAGUGAGCCAAGACUGUGCCACUGCACUCCAACCUGGGCAACAGAGACCCCAGCUCAAAAAAAUAAAAUUAGUGUUAACUUGUACUGUUUAGCCACAUUCAUUAAGUUUUUAAUUUUAACUCUACUAUCGCACAACCAGGAAUGUACAAGAGAUCUGGAGCCUGAUUUGCAUGGCAGGAAGGAGACCACGUAUUUUUGUUUGGGAUGGGUUUUAGCCACUAUCAGAGACAUAGUUUGUUUCUUAGGGGUUCGGUCCCAGUAGUAUGAUACUUAGUUCAUUUAGGAACUUCCUUUUUUAACGGCUAAGAAAACAUUUUAGCUACUAAAUGAUAUGCAAAGAUAACUUUCCAAAUUUAAGCUGUACUCAAAAAUCCACAGAAUCUGCAAAACUCUCAAGUUUCUAUAUUUAAAUAGAAAUGUGUGUUGAUAUACAUACUUUAAUCAGUCAUUUCUUGCUUUCAAUAUAUUUUAUUCUGACGAAGUUACAAAAGUAGAUACAAAAUACUUUUUUUAGAAGUACAGUUAACUGACUUAGAAAAAUAGAUAAAGCCCCUAAGGAUUUUAAAACACAACAUAAAUUUUUAUGUAAAGAACAUUUAAAAAUAUUUUAGAUGGUAACCAAAACUAACUUACACAAACUAUUUUUGAUGUAGAAUAGAAUGCUGUUCUAUAAUAAGAAGUCUGUAGCACACUGGUAAUCCAUUUGGAUCUACAGAAUACUUGUUUGGAACAGAAUCUGAUAAUGAGAGAAAACUCAAAUGAAUGUCAGUGCAGUUGCUUCAAAAAAAUUACUGCUACCACAUGUACUAUCAUCCCCCAAGGCCUUUUACAGUCUGAAAUAUCAAAAUUGAAAGCAAAAAUAGGAUGACCAAAGGACUACUAUUUUACCUCUUUUCAGAACUCUACAAUAGUAGAAACUAAAUUCCCUUAUGGAUCUCAGGGGGAAAUAAUGUGCCUGUUGAAGGGGCUCAGUGUUUGGUGUCCAGGCUGGCAUUUUUCAGGUGAGGGUUUCAUACUGACAGGAGGCAGGCUCCUAAAACAAGGCGGUAGCACCAGCACCAUGACUAGGGCUGCUUUAAAACAAAUUUCUAGGACUUACGCUCUUUGGGCCUGAUUUGUUAAUGCUUAUGAGGUAAUGAUAUUAUGUUUGAGAAGCUCUACUUCUAGUAUACCUCAAUGCUCAGAGAGAAAGCCAACAAUACAAUCAGGAAACCACAAUAUUGACAAAACUUAGUACUACCACCAAGAUUGUUCCUCUUGCCUUGGCACUACUAAAAAACUUUACCUUUGUUACUAAAGUCAUGGUGAAUACAGAUUUUGCAUUUCUCAUGUAAGCAGCUAUAUAAGCUAGGGUUCUACAAGCCUUAGAUGAAAGGAAAAACUUUGCUGGAAGCCCUGUAAAAAUCACUUUAUUCACAAUCUGAAGAAUGAAAGACAAAUUUGGCUGUCAAUACAAAAACUGUAGUACAAGUGUUUUUUGAAGGCCUGAAAAUUAAAGCACCAUAGGAUUAACUGCAUAAUUUAGCAAGCACUCUCUACCCCAUGACUGUAAUCAUGUAUGAAGAGCAGAGAUCAGACACUGAGAGGAGAUGGCUUCUGAUUAGCAAGGGGGAAGGGAGUGAGUGUUAUGGAACAGGCAAACCUUGGGCAUGGGGAGAUAAAAGUGAGAAGAGUCAAAAAGAUUGAUUUCUAUAGGCCGGGCACGGUGGCUCAUGCCUGUAAUCCCAACACUUUGGGAGGCUGAGGCGGGCGGAUUGCGAGGUAAGGAGAUGGAGACCAUCCUGGCUAACACGGUGAAACCCCAUCUCUACUAAAAAUACAAAAAAUUAGCCAGGCAUGACUAAAAAUAGAAAAAAUUAGCUGGGCGUGGUGGCGGGCACCUGUAGUUCCAGCUACUCAGGAGAGGCUGGGGCAGGAGAAUGGCAUGAACCUGGGAGGCAGAGCUUGCAGUGAGCCGAGAUCCCACCACUGUACUCCAGCCUGGGUGACAGAGUGAGACUCUGUCUC
rnacentral:lncRNA from 10 species